rnacentral:rRNA from 1 species
UACGGAGGGUGCAAGCGUUAUCCGGAUUCACUGGGUUUAAAGGGUGCGUAGGUGGGGAUGUAAGUCAGUGGUGAAAUCUCCGUGCUUAACAUGGAAACUGCCAUUGAUACUAUGUUUCUUGAAUUUUCUGGAGGUAAGCGGAAUAUGUCAUGUAGCGGUGAAAUGCUUAGAUAUGACAUAGAACACCAAUUGCGAAGGCAGCUUGCUACAGGGAUAUUGACACUGAGGCACGAAAGCUAGGGUAGCAAACGGG